UACGUAGGGGGCAAGCGUUAUCCGGAAUUAUUGGGCGUAAAGAGUGCGUAGGUGGUUACCUAAGCGCAAGGUUUAAUCUUGAGGCUCAACCUCAUUUUGCCUUGCGAACUGGGCUACUUGAGUGUUGGAGAGGAAAGCAGAAUUCCUAGUGUAGCGGUGAAAUGCGUAGAUAUUAGGAGGAACACCAGUGGCGAAGGCGGCUUUCUGGACAGUAACUGACGCUGAGGCGCGAAAGCGUGGGGAGCAAACAGGAUUAGAUACCCCUGUAGUCCCU
rnacentral:rRNA from 1 species